AUUGAGAGGUAAACGGGUGGGGUCCGUGCAGUCCGCCCGGAGGAUUCAACACGGCAGGGCAGGUCGGUCGCCUCGGAACGGUGGAUGCCCUCGCGGGACUGCGGGCCGGACAAACCCGGCCCCAGCAGGGUGCAUUUCCUCUGUGGCGGUGCACCGCAAAUGGCUGGGAAGGCCCCAGGGGGCAGGUGGCUCUUUGCUCCAGCAGAGAGUGUUACAGCCCCUGACCAGCAGUUUCGCUGUGUCCGCGGGCCGAAGGAGAUUGACCGCCGCCGCGCACCUUCUCCGCAACCGUCCUGGCCCUGUUGGGGGUCAACGGGCGGCGACACUAGACAGGGAUCCCGAUACAACUGUGGUGGACUGCCCUCAGUGUGCCCCGACCACGCCAGGUGCUGGUGGGGAGGCCCACAAAGGGCGCCAGGGUCUGCGGUGAUGUCGGUUAACCACUCGACCCGUCUUGAAACACGGACGAAAGGAGUAUUAACACGUGCGCGAGUCGGAGGGCCGAAUGAAACCCUGUGGUGUAAAGAAGGUGAGGGGGAGCAUGCCGAUUGCAAUGGGAUCCUGUUGGUGUAGGAGCACCACCAACCCAUCUCGGCCGCUCUGUCAGGGAGAUGGAGCAUGAGCGUGUGUGAUAGGACCCGAAAGAUGGUGAACUAGGCCUGGUGGAGGUCCGUAGUAGUCCUGAUGUGUAAAUCGGUCGUCCGACCUGGGCAUAGGGGCGAAAGAAUAAUCAAACCAUCUAGUAGCUGGUUCCCUCUGGAGUUUCCCCCUCAGGAUAGAUGGCGCACGGAAACCACAGUUUUAUCUAGUAAAGCGAAUGAUUCGAAGUCUUGCGGCCAAAAUGAUCUCAACCUAUUCUCAAACUUUAAAUGGGUAAGAAGCCUGGCUCUCUGGCGUGGAGCCGGGCAUUGAAUGCAAGUGCCCAGUGGGCAACUUUUGUUAAGCAGAACUGGCGCUGCAGGAAGAACCGAAUGCCGGGUUAAGGUGCCCGCCGACACUCAUCAACCCCCAGAAAAGGUGUUGGCGUUGAAAUAGACACCAGGACGCUGGACCUGGAAGUCGGAAUCCACCAAGGAGCCCCGAGGAGAGUAUUCUUUUCUUUGUGAAGGCCAGGGCACCCUGGAAUGGGUUCGCCCUGAGAGAAGGGCCCGAGCCUUGGAAAGCGUUGCAGAUCCGGCGGCGUGCGGAACUCUCGCUAGUCCAUGAAAAUCCAGGGGAGAUGGUGUAAAUCUCGUCCCGGGCCGUACCAAUAUCCGCAGCAGGUCUCCACGGUGAACAGGCUCUGGCAUGUUGGAACAAUGUAGGUAAGGGAAGUCGGCAAGUCAGAUCCGUAACUUCGGGAUAAGGAUUGGCUCUGAGGGUUGGGUCGGUCGGGCUGGGGCACUAAGCAGGGCUGGGCGUGCGCCGCUGCUGGACAAGGUGUCUCCCCCCCCUACCCCCAGGGGCGGCGCUGACUCUGGAUGCAAGCCGGGCCCUGGCUGGGGAUCGCCUCAGCCUCAGUGGUCGCCUCUCUCCAUUCCCCUCCUGGGUUCGGAGCAGACGUUCUGCCUAGGCCGGCACCUAGCAGCUGACUUAGAACUGGUACAGACCAGGGGAAUCCGACUGUUUAAUUAAAACAAAGCAUCGCGAAGGCCUGCAGUGGGUGCUGAAUCAAUGUGAUUUCUGCCCAGUGCUCUGAAUGUCAAAGUGAAGAAAUUCAACGAAGCGCAGGUAAACAGCGGGAGUAACUAGGACUCUCUUAAGGUAGCCAAAUGCCUCAUCAUCUAAUUAGUGACACGCAUGAAUGUUUGAACGAGGUUCCCACUGUCCCUACCUACUAUCUAGAAAAACCACAGCUAUGGGAACAGGCUUGGCAGAAUCUACGGGGAAAGAAUACCUUGUUAAUCUUGCCUCUAGCCUGGCAGGUGUCCUAAGGCGAGCUCAGGGAAGACAGAAAAGCCUGCUUGAUCUUGAUUUUUCAGUAUGAAUACAGACCGUAAAAGCAGGGCUUCACGAUCCAUCUGACUUUUUGGGUUUCAAGCAGGAGGUGUCAGAAAAGUUACCAUAGGAAUAACUGGCUUGUGUCGGCCAAGCGUUCAUAGCGACGUCGCUUUUUGAUCCUUCGAUGCCGGCUCUUCCUAUCAUUGUGAAGCAGAAUUCAUAAAGCGUUGAAUUGGUCACCACUAAUCGGGAACGUGAGGUGGUUUUAGACCGUUGUGAGACAGGUUAGUUUUACCCUACUGAUCAUGUGUUGUUGCAAUAGUAAUCCUGCUCACUAGAAGAGGAACCGCAGGUUCAGACAUUUGGUGUAUGUGCUUGGCUGAAGAGCCAAUGGGGCGAAGCUACCAUCUGUGGGAUUAUGACUGAACGCCUCCAAGUCAGAAUCCCCCUAAACCGUAACAAUACUGCAGCACUGUCGAACCUCGGUUGGCCUAGGAUAGCCGGCCUCUGGGCCGGUGCGUGGAGCCGCUCGCCUCGGGACUCGAGUGUCGACAGAAGGGGGCCACCUCUCUCACCCGCGAGUGCACCGCAU
rnacentral:rRNA from 1 species